rnacentral:rRNA from 1 species
CGAGCACGCGCGUGUGGCAUAUCAAUAAGCGGAGGAAAAGAAACUAACAAGGAUUCCCUUAGUAACGGCGAGUGAAGCGGGAAGAGCUCAAAUUUGAAAUCUUCAAGGUUCUACCUUGACGAAUUGUAGUUUAUAGAAGUGUUUUCUGUUAGUGGAGUGGCAAAAGUUCUUUGGAAUAGGACAUCAUAGAGGGUGAGAAUCCCGUAUUUGGUCAUUCCUCCUAGCGUUGUGAUACACUUUCAACGAGUCGGAUUGUUUGGGAAUGCAGUCCAAAAUGGGUGGUAAAUUUCAUCUAAAGCUAAAUAUUGGCGAGAGACCGAUAGCGAACAAGUACCGUGAGGGAAAGAUGAAAAGAACUUUGAAAAGAGAGUUAAACAGUACGUGAAAUUGUCAGAAGGGAAGCGUUUGACACCAGUGUUGUUUUUCCGAAAAUCAAUUACGAAUGUUUUAGUUUUUGAGGAGUUAUGACUUCAUCGGCUUGCUUCUCUCUUUAUGAAACUUUCUUAAUGCACUUUUCGGUUAACAAGUCAACAUCAAUUUCUUUUGUUGUAAAAGGGUAUGAGGAAGGUGGCUUUCUUUUCGGAGAAAGUGUUUAUAGCCUUGUGCCUCUGCAAUCGGAGAGAUUGAGGUCUGCAGCGUAGAUCCUUCGGGGUUAGAUACGUUUGUGCUAAGUUAUAGCUUUUCAUAGACAACUUGUUGACUAUGUUAGUCUUGUAGCUUACUCGCUUAUGCUAUUUUACCUACGCUUAGGAUGUUGAGUAGCGACAUACGCAC